AUGAGAAGAUCCUGCCAUGGAAAAGACAACUGGGUGGACAUAAAGUGGAAAGGAGGGAAAUAACUCACACCAUGCAGCAGGACACCUUCAGCUGGGGGGUAUUUGUAAUGCAGGUUUGAUAGUUAUAUUUUCAAUGAUGAAUGGUUAGCUGUUAUGUGACAAUUGGGUCAAAAAACUCUAUUUUAUCCCCUCCCAAAUUGAUAUAGAACCUUCGCAAAAACACAUGGGGCAACUGAAAAAGAAAUGGCUGAGGAUAUAUUCAAAAUGUCUGAGUUCAACAAAGCCAACAACUGCUUCAUGUGUGCCACUGAUAAAGAACCCUGGAUGUGGGCCAAAGACUGACUGGACAACGGUUCAGAGUGAAGAACACAAACUGGAAGUGAUGUCUUUGUUGUUGAAAAUGUAUGCUAUAUCCCAUCCACACUGAAGAGGCUCUGAAAUGUACAUCAACCAGGGAUAAAGAGAAAGUUAACACUGUGAAAUGUUUCAUACUUAAUUGAAGUUAAGUGUCUGUUGACAUGUUGGAAAAUAUUAAAGGUCUACAAUUUCUGUUAAAUUUGUCAAUAUUCAAUUUUUAUUCAUUGAUUUUCUGGCCACCAUUACUGUGGUUACAUGUUCAGUAUAUGUAUUGACCAGCAAGCCCACUGCAGCCUACCUCAACUCUCCAUCCCUGCUUUGGACAAUUCUUAGCAUGACUCUCGUAGUUUGCCCUUUUCCUUUAUGGUUGAUAUUAACGACGAAAGGAAAUAUUAUCUGUCCCUCUCCUAUUGUGUACCACUGUUAAAUA